UACGUAGGGUGCGAGCGUUUGUCCGGAAUUAUUGGGCGUAAAGAGCUCGUAGGCGGCUUGUCGCGUCGGAUGUGAAAGCCCGGGGCUUAACUUCGGGUCUGCAUUCGAUACGGGCAGGCUAGAGUUCGGUAGGGGAGACUGGAAUUCCUGGUGUAGCGGUGAAAUGCGCAGAUAUCAGGAGGAACACCGGUGGCGAAGGCGGCUUCCUGGACCGACACUGACGCUGAGGCGCGAAAGCUAGGGGAGCAAACGGG
rnacentral:rRNA from 1 species